AUUGAACGCUGGCGGAAUGCUUUACACAUGCAAGUCGAACGGCAGCACGGGGCAACCUGGUGGCGAGUGGCGAACGGGUGAGUAAUAUAUCGGAACGUGCCCAAUCGUGGGGGGAUAACGUAGCGAAAGUUACGCUAAUACCGCAUACGAUCUACGGAUGAAAGCGGGGGGAUCGCAAGACCUCGCGCGAAUGGAGCGGCCGAUAUCAGAUUAGGUAGUUGGUGGGGUAAAGGCUCACCAAGCCAACGAUCUGUAGCUGGUCUGAGAGGACGACCAGCCACACUGGAACUGAGACACGGUCCAGACUCCUACGGGAGGCGAGCAGUGGGGAAUUUUGGACAAUGGGGGGAAACCCUGAUCCAGCCAUGCCGCGUGCAGGAUGAAGGCCUUCGGGUUGUAAACCGUCUUUCAGCAGGGACGAAGGGUGACGUGACGGUACCUGUAGAAGAAGCACCGGCCAACUACGUGCCAGCAGCCGCGGUAACGAGUCACGUCG
rnacentral:rRNA from 1 species